rnacentral:tRNA from 1 species
AAUGAUGUGCCUGAAAAAGGAUUACUGUGAUAGAGUAAAUCAUGUAUCAACGUACCUUCAUUA